rnacentral:rRNA from 1 species
GACGAACGCUGGCGGCGUGCUUAACACAUGCAAGUCGAACGCUGAAGCUCAGCUUUUGUUGGGUGGAUGAGUGGCGAACGGGUGAGUAACACGUGAGUAACCUGCCUCCUUCUUUGGGAUAACGCCCGGAAACGGGUGCUAAUACUGGAUAUUCACUGGUCUUCGCAUGGGGGUUGGUGGAAAGGGUUUUUCUGGUGGGGGAUGGGCUCGCGGCCUAUCAGCUUGUUGGUGGGGUGAUGGCCUACCAAGGCUUUGACGGGUAGCCGGCCUGAGAGGGUGACCGGGCACAUUGGGACUGAGAUACGGCCCAGACUCCGACGGGAGGCAGCAGUGGGGAAUAUUGCGCAAUGGGCGCAAGCCUGAUGCAGCGACGCCGCGUGAGGGAUGGAGGCCUUCGGGUUGUGAACCUCUUUCGCUCAUGGUCAAGCCGCAACAAUGGUUGUGGUGAGGGUAGUGGGUAAAGAAGCGCCGGCUAACUACGUG